GGGGUAACGGUAAUAACCGGACGUAUUCUUUGCUUUUCUAUAAGUUAAUUGCAAGCAAAGGUAGGCCGUCUGCAUAUGCUACUGCAUGAAGAGGGGUCUGCGUACCAUUAGCUAGUAGGUGGGGUAAUGGCCUACCUAGGCGACGAUGGUUGGCGGGUCUGAGAGGAUGAUCCGCCACACUGGCACUGGAACACGGGCCAGACUCCUACGGGAGGCAGCAGUGAGGAAUAUUGCGCAAUGGGGGAAACCCUGACGCAGCGACGCCGCGUGAGUGAGGAAAGGCCUUCGGGUCGUAAAGCUCUGUCAAGAGGAAAGAAGUGUACAAUGGCUAAUACCUGUUGUAUUUGACGGUACCUCUAAAGGAAGCACCGGCUAACUCCGUGCCAGCAGCAGC
rnacentral:rRNA from 1 species